rnacentral:rRNA from 1 species
AGUCACUGACAUUAGAUACCCGCGUAGUCCAGGGUGUAAACGCUGCAGACUUGGUGUUGGAAGCCCUUUGGGGGGCAUUCAGUGCCGGAGAGAAGUUGUUAAGUCUGCUACUUGGGGAGUACGUCCGCAAGGAUGAAACUUAAAGGAAUUGGCGGGGGAGCACUGCAACGGGAGGAGCGUGCGGUUUAAUUGGAUUCAACACCGUAAAACUCACCAGGGAAGACUGUUACAUGAAGGCCGAGAUGAAGACUCUGCCAGAUUUUCAG